rnacentral:rRNA from 1 species
GAUGAACGCUGGCGGCGUGCCUAAUACAUGCAAGUCGAGCGAACAGACGAGGAGCUUGCUCCUCUGACGUUAGCGGCGGACAGGUGAGUAACACGUGGAUAAUCUACCUAUAAGACUGGGAUAACCUCGGGAAACCGGAGCUAAUACCAGAUAAUAUAUUGAACCGCAUGGGUCAAUGGUAAAAGACGGUGUUGCUGUCUCUAAUAGCUGGAUCCGCGCCGCAUUAGCUAGUUGGUAAGGUAACGGGUUACCAAGGCAACGAUGCGUAGCCGACCUGAGAGGGUGAUAGGCCACACUGGAGCUGAGACACGGUCCAGAGUCCUACGGGAGGCAGCAGUAGGGUAUCUUCGGCAGUGGGCGAAAGCCUUACAGAGUGACGCCGCGUGAGUGGUGGAAGUCUUCGGAUCGUAAAGCUCUCUUAUGAGGGAAGAACCGCUGUGUAAGGAACUGUGCACGUCUUGACGGUAAUUAGUCAGAAAGCAACGGCUAACUACGUG